rnacentral:rRNA from 1 species
AUUGAACGCUGGCGGCAUGCCUUACACAUGCAAGUCGAACGGCAGCACGGGUGCUUGCACCUGGUGGCGAGUGGCGAACGGGUGAGUAAUACAUCGGAACAUGUCCUGUAGUGGGGGAUAGCCCGGCGAAAGCCGGAUUAAUACCGCAUACGAUCUACGGAUGAAAGCGGGGGACCUUCGGGCCUCGCGCUAUCGGGUUGGCCGAUGGCUGAUUAGCUAGUUGGUGGGGUAAAGGCCUACCAAGGCGACGAUCAGUAGCUGGUCUGAGAGGACGACCAGCCACACUGGGACUGAGAAACGGCCCAGACUCCUACGGGAGGCAGCAGUGGGGAAUUUUGGACAAUGGGCGAAAGCCUGAUCCAGCAAUGCCGCGUGUGUGAAGAAGGCCUUCGGGUUGUAAAGCACUUUUGUCCGGAAAGAAAUCCUUGGCCCUAAUACGGUCGGGGGAUGACGGUACCGGAAGAAUAAGCACCGGCUAACUACGUG